rnacentral:pre_miRNA from 12 species
GUGCAUCCUUCGUAUACGUAUACUGAAUGUAUCCUGAGUGUAUCCUAUCCGGUAUACCUUCAGUAUACGUAACACGAGGGAACAC